AUUCAAUAUAAAGAACUCGCCAAGGGCUAUAGGUUGUCUCCGGGCAGAGAUGGCAGAGGAGCUACUGUCCGCAUCAGAGAAAGACUACUGUUCAAUGUGUGGCCUGCAGGAUGUUCCAAGAGACAAAGACAUUGAGGCAGUAGUAAUUGACUGGACCCAGUGUGACUCAUGUGGAAGGUGGUUCCAUGACAUGUGCCUAACAGCAGCCCAGAUGGUACAUGUUCCAGAAGAACUGGCACAAUGGCAAUGUACCCUGUGCGAUAACCAAUAAUUCUAUUUGAUUUCCUGUUCAUAUGUAAAUAUUUCUCAUUGUUGUAAGUUGUAUUCAUUAAAUUACUUAGUGUGUAUAAAAAGUACAGCCUGCCUACAUUUUUUGCACGCAAACUUAUAUAGUAUAGGUCACAGGGUCACAGGUAUGUUUUGAUAUGGGUAGGUCAAAAGGUCAAGCCGCAUAAUAGAUUAUAGCCUUUUUUAACAUUAAAAAAAUAGUAUAAAAUCAAAGGGUAAGUGUUUUGAGAAAAUAAGC